CUAGCUCGACUACACACCUUACAAGUCAAUGUCCUAACUUGUACUCUUAACAGUUCUCAUCAACUUGCACCAACUCUAGAGACUAAGACUUAACUAACUUAGUUAAAACUUAACAGAACAACAUUACAACCAAGUGGGUCUUAACUAAACCCUUUAACAAUUCUUCUUUGACAUGGGCCUUGACCACUCAUACACCAGCAGGCCCAUAACACAUCAUUGUCCUUCUCGACUUCUCUUCUUUCACGAUUCUUCUUCUUCUUCGUUUAGCUUCCACACUUCUGGUUCUUCAUCAUCUUAAUCUCACUUUUCUUGCCUUUCUCUUUUGCAGGAUUAAUCGAAAAUUCAUCCCUCAACACUCCCUCUUGAGUUUUCGAUUUGGACUCUUGAUUCCAGGUUGGGAUUUUGAAUUUUGACGCCUUUACUUCUCCAAUAAAGGUUCCUUUUCUCUUCAUCUGAGAGCCACUUUUCAGAACAUCUGCAUAGGUCAUCGGCGAGUUUGAUUUUCCGAUCUCCUUCUUAAUUGGGAUUUCUGUGAUUUUCCCUUGAGGCUCUGGACACAAACUUAUGUCUCCAAACUUGAUGGCAUUCGAUCCAAGCAAAGAACCUCCCUGAUUCUUAACUUCCAGCGAUGGCUUUUUCCUUCACAGUUCCAGCUUCAUUCUUCUUAGGUUGAUGAGUUUCAGGUACCUCAGCUAUCUUCCUUCCAGCAGGAUCGUGAAUGGUACAACCUCUGUGAUUAAACUCAACUUCAUAGUCUCUUUCAAUCAUUUGAGAUCAACAGAUUUUUGCAUAGCUCCAUUACCUACACGUACAGGAAUAUUGAAGCUUGUGUUGAUGUGAGUAAACAACUUCUCAUAUGGCGUCAUGUGAUUUGUGCAUCCACUAUCAAUGAGCCAGUUACUGAUUAGAUGACCUACUUUUCCACAGUGAAAACAGCUUCUAGUGUCUCUGUUUCCAUUGAGAGCAGAAGGCUCCUUCUGCUUCUUCUUCAUCCUCUGGAAAGAAUUUCUUCUCAUGUGCCUCCAGAGAUCCAAGCAGCUCAGCAUAUGUAACAUUGUUCAAAUCCUUUGUUUCUUCCAUUAAGGAUGACAAGCCGGCAUAGCUUUUUGGCAUAGAAGCCAGCAUUUUCACUACUAAAUCAAAGUUAGAUUUACCCUCACCUAAAGAUCUCAUCUGAUUUGCUACAGCCUGAAUCCUAUCCGAGAGUGCUCCAGAAGUUUCCAUGCUUGGUGUGCUGAGUUUGCAGAAAUGAUCUUGUCAAACACCGCAUCAACCACUGCAUGCUGAAUGAUUUGUAGAGCAGCCAUAUCUUUAGCUUUGAGUGCCUUCAGGUUUGCAGUUUCUUUGCUCUUAUAUGUUCCUGGAGUUGCAGACCAUAACUCGUAAUUCUGCCAUCAAAGACUGCAAUAAGAUGAGGCUCCAAGGAUCAAGUUGCGCUCUGAUACCAUGUUGAACUUCUCACUUUGAUUUCAGAUUUGUUUCUUUUUCUUUUCUUUACUCAAAGAACUCAAUUUUUUAGAACUCUCAUUCAUUCAUUCAUAUUUUUCUUAUUACUUACACUCUCACAUACACCUCCUUAUAACAAAGUUUUUCACACUUA